rnacentral:rRNA from 2 species
ACAGAUGAGAAGCUUGCUUCUCUGAUGUUAGCGGCGGACGGGUGAGUAACACGUGGGUAACCUACCUAUAAGACUGGGAUAACUCCGGGAAACCGGGGCUAAUACCGGAUAAUAUUUUGAACCGCAUGGUUCAAUAGUGAAAGACGGUUUCGGCUGUCACUUAUAGAUGGACCCGCGCCGUAUUAGCUAGUUGGUAAGGUAACGGCUUACCAAGGCGACGAUACGUAGCCGACCUGAGAGGGUGAUCGGCCACACUGGAACUGAGACACGGUCCAGACUCCUACGGGAGGCAGCAGUAGGGAAUCUUCCGCAAUGGGCGAAAGCCUGACGGAGCAACGCCGCGUGAGUGAUGAAGGUCUUCGGAUCGUAAAACUCUGUUGUUAGGGAAGAACAAAUUUGUUAGUAACUGAACAAGUCUUGACGGUACCUAACCAGAAAGCCACGGCUAACUACGUGCCAGCAGCCGCGGUAAUACGUAGGUGGCAAGCGUUAUCCGGAAUUAUUGGGCGUAAAGCGCGCGUAGGCGGUUUCUUAAGUCUGAUGUGAAAGCCCACGGCUCAACCGUGGAGGGUCAUUGGAAACUGGGAAACUUGAGUGCAGAAGAGGAGAGUGGAAUUCCAUGUGUAGCGGUGAAAUGCGCAGAGAUAUGGAGGAACACCAGUGGCGAAGGCGGCUCUCUGGUCUGUAACUGACGCUGAUGUGCGAAAGCGUGGGGAUCAAACAGGAUUAGAUACCCUGGUAGUCCACGCCGUAAACGAUGAGUGCUAAGUGUUAGGGGGUUUCCGCCCCUUAGUGCUGCAGCUAACGCAUUAAGCACUCCGCCUGGGGAGUACGACCGCAAGGUUGAAACUCAAAGGAAUUGACGGGGACCCGCACAAGCGGUGGAGCAUGUGGUUUAAUUCGAAGCAACGCGAAGAACCUUACCAAAUCUUGACAUCCUUUGACCGCUCUAGAGAUAGAGUCUUCCCCUUCGGGGGACAAAGUGACAGGUGGUGCAUGGUUGUCGUCAGCUCGUGUCGUGAGAUGUUGGGUUAAGUCCCGCAACGAGCGCAACCCUUAAGCUUAGUUGCCAUCAUUAAGUUGGGCACUCUAGGUUGACUGCCGGUGACAAACCGGAGGAAGGUGGGGAUGACGUCAAAUCAUCAUGCCCCUUAUGAUUUGGGCUACACACGUGCUACAAUGGAUAAUACAAAGGGCAGCGAAUCCGCGAGGCCAAGCAAAUCCCAUAAAAUUAUUCUCAGUUCGGAUUGUAGUCUGCAACUCGACUACAUGAAGCUGGAAUCGCUAGUAAUCGUAGAUCAGCAUGCUACGGUGAAUACGUUCCCGGGUCUUGUACACACCGCCCGUCACACCACGAGAGUUUGUAACACCCGAAGCCGGUGGAGUAACCUUUUAGGAGCU